rnacentral:rRNA from 1 species
GACGAACGCUGGCGGCGUGCCUAAUACAUGCAAGUAGAACGCUGAAGGAGGAGCUUGCUUCUCUGGAUGAGUUGCGAACGGGUGUGUAACGCGUAGGUAACCUGCCUGGUAGCGGGGGAUAACUAUUGGAAACGAUAGCUAAUACCGCAUAAGAGUAGAUGUUGCAUGACAUUUGCUUAAAAGGUGCAAUUGCAUCACUACCAGAUGGACCUGCGUUGUAUUAGCUAGUUGGUGGGGUAACGGCUUACCAAGGCGACGAUACAUAGCCGACCUGAGAGGGGGAUCGGCCACACUGGGACUGAGACACGGCCCAGACUCCUACGGGAGGCAGCAGUAGGGAAUCUUCGGCAAUGGACGGAAGUCUGACCGAGCAACGCCGCGUGAGUGAAGAAGGUUUUCGGAUCGUAAAGCUCUGUUGUAAGAGAAGAACGAGUGUGAGAGUGGAAAGUUCACACUGUGACGGUAUCUUACCAGAAAGGGACGGCUAACUACGUG